CGCAGAACUGCAGAGCCUGCUGAAUUCUGGCUGACCAGGGCAGUCAACAGCUCUCCAGACAAUGUCUGCCUCCUUCCUCGUCUUCCUCUCUGUGCUCCCAUGGGGUGUCUUGUCACAGGUGCAGCUGCAGGAGUCAGGUCCAGGACUGGUGAGGCCCUCACAGACCCUCUCACUCACCUGUGCCAUCUCUGGGGACAGUGUCUCUAGCAACAGUGCUACUUGGAACUGGAUCAGGCAGUCACCAGGGAGAGGCCUUGAGUGGCUGGGAAGGACAUACUACAGGUCCAAGUGGUAUUAUAACUAUGUAACAUCUCUGCAAAGUCGAAUAACCAUCAACCCAGACACAUCCAAGAACCAGUUCUCCCUGCAGCUGAACUCUGUGACCCUCGAGGACACAGCCGUGUAUUACUGUGCAAGACAAUAUUAUACUAGCGGAUACUUUGAAUACUGGGGCCAGGGGACCCUGGUCACCGUCUCCUCAGGGACUGCGUCCGCCCCAGCCCUCUUCCCCCUCGUCUCCUGUGAGAAUGCCCUGUUGGAUACGAGCACAGUGUCCGUUGGCUGCCUGGCGCGGGACUUCCUGCCUGACUCCAUCACUUUCUCCUGGAAAUACAAGAACAACUCUGACAUCAACAGCAUCCAAGGCUUCCAAUCACUCCUGAGAGAGGGCAAGUACAUGGCCACCUCGCAGGUGCUGCUGCCUUCCAGGGACCUCAUGCAGGGCACGGACAACCACGUGGUGUGCAAAGUCCAGCACCCUAAAGGCAGCCAGGAAAAGAACGUGCCUCUUCCAGUGUUCAUAGAGCUGCCGCCCAGCGUGAGUGUCUUCAUCCCACCCCGCGACGCCUUCGCCGGCAACCCCCGCACGUCCAAGCUCAUCUGCCAGGCCACGGGCUUCAGCCCCCGGCAGAUCAAGGUGUCCUGGCUGCAGGAGGGGAAGAAGCUGGAGUCUGGCUUCACCACCAGCCAGGUGGAGGCUGAGGCCAAAGAGUCUGGGCCCACGACCUUCAAGGUGACCAGCACGCUGACCGUCGCCGAGAAAGACUGGCUCAGCCAGAGCGUGUUCACCUGCCGCAUGGAUCACAGCGGCCUGGCCUUCGAGAAGAACGUGUCCUCCGCGUGCGGCACCAAUCCAGCCACAGGCAUCCGCGUCUUUGCCAUCCCUCCAUCCUUUGCCAGCAUUUUCCUCACCAAGUCCACAAAGUUGACCUGCCUGGUCACAGACCUGGCCACCUACGACAGUGUGACCAUCUCCUGGACCCGCCAGAACAGCGAAGUUCUGAAGACCCACACCAACAUCUCUGAGAGCCACCCCAAUGGCACCUUCAGCGCCACAGGUGUGGCCAGCAUCUGUGAGGACGAGUGGAACUCCGGGGAGAGGUUCACCUGCACCGUGACGCACACUGACCUGCCCUCACCGCUGAAGCAGAGCAUCUCCAGGCCCAAGGGGGCGGCCCUGCACAGGCCCGACGUCUACUUGCUGCCGCCGGCCCGGGAGCAGCUGAGCCUGCGGGAGUGGGCAACCGUCACCUGCCUGGUGACCGGCUUCUCUCCCGCGGACAUCUUCGUGCAGUGGAUGCAGAGAGGGCAGCCUCUGCCCCAGGAGAAGUACGUGACCAGCGCGCCAGUGCCCGAGCCCCAGACCCCAGGCCUGUACUUCGCCUACAGCACCCUGACAGUGUCCGAGGAGGACUGGAAUGCAGGGGAGAGCUACGCCUGCGUCGUGGGCCAUGAGGCCCUGCCCAACAGGGUCACCGAGAGGACCGUGGACAAGUCCACCGAGGGGGAGGUGAGCGCCGACGAGGAGGGCUUUGAGAACCUGUGGGCCACCGCCUCCACCUUCAUCGUCCUCUUCCUCCUGAGCCUCUUCUACAGUACCACCGUCACCCUGUUCAAGGUAAAAUGAUCCCAACCAAAGAACGAAGAACGUCAGAGACCAGAGAGGAACGCAAGGGUGCUGCUCCAGACCUGGGGUCCCCGCCCUCGUGACCCUUGGCGAGUGUUUCUCUUCCCACCCGGCCUCCAGCUGUGUGCUUCAACACAGGCUUCCUUCUAGACGGGCAGGGCUGGCUGGCGAGCAGGUCACCACGUUGGCUCUACCCACACUGCUUUGCUGUGUAUACGCUUGUUGCCCUGAAAUAAACAUGCACAUUUUAUCCAUGAAA